GAUGAACGCUGGCGGCGUGCCUAAUACAUGCAAGUCGAGCGAACAGACGAGGAGCUUGCUCCUCUGACAUUAGCGGCGGACGGGUGAGUAACACGUGGAUAACCUACCUAUAAGACUGGGAUAACUUCGGGAAACCGGAGCUAAUACCGGAUAAUAUAUUGAACCGCAUGGUUCAAUAGUGAAAGACGGUUUUGCUGUCACUUAUAGAUGGAUCCGCGCCGCAUUAGCUAGUUGGUAAGGUAACGGCUUACCAAGGCAACGAUGCGUAGCCGACCUGAGAGGGUGAUCGGCCACACUGGAACUGAGACACGGUCCAGACUCCUACGGGAGGCAGCAGUAGGGAAUCUUCCGCAAUGGGCGAAAGCUUGACGGAGCAACGCCGCGUGAGUGAUGAAGGUCUUCGGAUCGUAAAACUCUGUUAUUAGGGAAGAACAAAUGUGUAAGUAACUAUGCACGUCUUGACGGUGCCUAACCAGAAAGCCACGGCUAACUACGUG
rnacentral:rRNA from 1 species